rnacentral:rRNA from 1 species
ACUCCUACGGGAGGCAGCAGUAGGGAAUCUUCCACAAUGGGCGAAAGCCUGAUGGAGCAACGCCGCGUGGGUGAAGAAGGUCUUCGGAUCGUAAAACCCUGUUGUUAGAGAAGAAAGUGCGUGAGAGUAACUGUUCACGUUUCGACGGUAUCUAACCAGAAAGCCACGGCUAACUACGUGCCAGCAGCCGCGGUAAUACGUAGGUGGCAAGCGUUAUCCGGAUUUAUUGGGGCGUAAAGGGAACGCAGGCGGUCUUUUAAGUACUGAUGUGAAGACCUUCGGCUUAACCGGUAGUAGUGCAUUGGUAAACUAGGGAGGACUUGAGUGCAGAAGAGGAGAGUGGAACGUCCAUGUGUAGCGGUGAAAUAGCGUAGAUAUAUGGAAGAACACCAGUGGCGAAAGACGGCUCUCUGGUCGUGUAACUGACGCUGAGGUUC